rnacentral:rRNA from 1 species
CCUACGGGUGGCAGCAGUGGGGAAUAUUGCACAAUGGGGGAAACCCUGAUGCAGCGACGCCGCGUGAGCGAUGAAGUAUUUCGGUAUGUAAAGCUCUAUCAGCAGGGAAGAAAAUGACGGUAUCUGACUAAUAAGCCCCGGCUAACUACGUGCCAGCAGCCGCGGUAAUACGUAGGGGGCAAGCGUUAUCCGGAUUUACUGGGUGUAAAGAGCGCGUAGGCGGCUUGGCAAGCCAGAUGUGAAAGGCUGGGGCUCAACCACAGGACUGCAUUUGGAACUGUUAUGCUAGAGUGUCGGAGAGGCAGGCGGAAUUCCUAGUGUAGCGGUAAAAUGCGUAGAGAUUAGGAGGAACACCAGUUGCGAAGGCGACCUGCUGGACGAUGACUGACGCUGAGGCGCGAAAGCGUGGGGAGCAAACAGGAUUAGAUACCCGUGUAGUC